UAACCAUCAAGCCCUAGGCUUGUGUUGGAGCCCUGCGGCUGCCGCAGCCUCUUAAAAUCAGUGGCGGGCUCGCUAUUACACCGAGUGCAGUAGUUUACUCUUCGCUCAGGGCGUGUAGCGGGUGCUAGCCGUGAAACUCCCAACUUCUUAA
rnacentral:misc_RNA from 1 species